rnacentral:rRNA from 1 species
UUGAAGAGUUUGAUCAUGGCUCAGAUUGAACGCUGGCGGCAGGCCUAACACAUGCAAGUCGAGCGGUAGCACAGAGAGCUUGCUCUCGGGUGACGAGCGGCGGACGGGUGAGUAAUGUCUGGGAAACUGCCUGAUGGAGGGGGAUAACUACUGGAAACGGUAGCUAAUACCGCAUAAUGUCGCAAGACCAAAGUGGGGGACCUUCGGGCCUCAUGCCAUCAGAUGUGCCCAGAUGGGAUUAGCUAGUAGGUGGGGUAACGGCUCACCUAGGCGACGAUCCCUAGCUGGUCUGAGAGGAUGACCAGCCACACUGGAACUGAGACACGGUCCAGACUCCUACGGGAGGCAGCAGUGGGGAAUAUUGCACAAUGGGCGCAAGCCUGAUGCAGCCAUGCCGCGUGUGUGAAGAAGGCCUUCGGGUUGUAAAGCACUUUCAGCGGGGAGGAAGGCGGUGAGGUUAAUAACCUCAUCGAUUGACGUUACCCGCAGAAGAAGCACCGGCUAACUCCGUGCCAGCAGCCGCGGUAAUACGGAGGGUGCAAGCGUUAAUCGGAAUUACUGGGCGUAAAGCGCACGCAGGCGGUCUGUCAAGUCGGAUGUGAAAUCCCCGGGCUCAACCUGGGAACUGCAUUCGAAACUGGCAGGCUAGAGUCUUGUAGAGGGGGGUAGAAUUCCAGGUGUAGCGGUGAAAUGCGUAGAGAUCUGGAGGAAUACCGGUGGCGAAGGCGGCCCCCUGGACAAAGACUGACGCUCAGGUGCGAAAGCGUGGGGAGCAAACAGGAUUAGAUACCCUGGUAGUCCACGCCGUAAACGAUGUCGAUUUGGAGGUUGUGCCCUUGAGGCGUGGCUUCCGGAGCUAACGCGUUAAAUCGACCGCCUGGGGAGUACGGCCGCAAGGUUAAAACUCAAAUGAAUUGACGGGGGCCCGCACAAGCGGUGGAGCAUGUGGUUUAAUUCGAUGCAACGCGAAGAACCUUACCUGGUCUUGACAUCCACAGAACUUN